UACGGGGGAGCAAGCGUUGUUCGGAUUUACUGGGCGUAAAGGGCGCGUAGGCGGCCACGACAAGUCACUUGUGAAAUCUCCGGGCUUAACUCGGAACGGUCAAGUGAUACUGUCGGGCUAGAGUGCAGAAGGGGCAACUGGAAUUCUCGGUGUAGCGGUGAAAUGCGUAGAUAUCGAGAGGAACACCUGCGGCGAAGGCGGGUUGCUGGGCUGACACUGACGCUGAGGCGCGAAAGCCAGGGGAGCGAACGGG
rnacentral:rRNA from 1 species